rnacentral:lncRNA from 1 species
CUCGAUUAGUCACAAUAUUAAGUUAAUCUGUUUUUAUUUUCCAACACUUGAAAAUGUGGUGUUACAAAAAGGUUAUGUAAAUUGGGAUAAUCCCAUGUAAAAAUGAGUGGGUUCACCAACACUUUACGCUAACACAAUUUUAAAAAAAGAUUAGCUACUGCAUGAAGUGAAAGUGACUAACAUGGUAUUUCUUCUGGGAUUAAUACUGGGUAUACUUAGGUGUCUCUACUACUUGUUCUCAACACCUGAGCAAUCUCCUUAAGAAUCAAGCCCUAACAAAGAAGAAGAGCUACAGCUAAAAGCUCACAACAAUGAAAGUGACACGCAGCACAGCACACUGUGAAUACAGAUGCAAACGCAGGCACUGACAUUGUCACAAGGUACCUGGGAUAUUUGGAAGACCUGUACAUGUGAUGCGUAGCUAAGUACGAAAUGCCUGAAGAAGCCAAGUCCAUCAAAUAGAACCUCUCUUCGGCAGUUUUUUUGCAUUUAAAUAUGAAAUCAUAAUGAAGUGUCCAGGUGGCAGAAUUUUUUGCUUCAGCAGCUGCAGUACCGACUCAGGAAUUCAAAAGCAGAAGCCCAACAGAUUAACGAUUCCCCAUAAUAUUAUCUCUGUAACAUGCAAUUUGUUCUCAAUGAUAAUUAGAUAUUUAGAGAGAGACAUAAUUAGGAAGAAGCGGCCUAAUGCUUUUUGUUGUUGUUGUUGUUUGCUGAGAAUCUCCUGACAGCCAGAUGAUCCACUAUGGGAGCAAUGUGAUUCUGGGAUUGGAAUUUGCAGUAGCUGGCUAUGUUGAGAUAUGGCUUAAACAUUCUGCAUGGUGAAAUAAAACCACC